CGGGAAGAGCUCAAAUUUGAAAUCUGGCGUGCUCAGUGCGUCCGAGUUGUAAUCUAUAGAGGCGUUUUCCGUGCCGGACUGUGUCUAAGUCCCUUGGAACAGGGUAUCAAAGAGGGUGAUAAUCCCGUACUUGACACAAUGACCGGUGCUCUGUGAUACGUCUUCUACGAGUCGAGUUGUUUGGGAAUGCAGCUCAAAAUGGGUGGUGAGUUCCAUCUAAAGCUAAAUAUUGGCGAGAGACCGAUAGCGAACAAGUACCGUGAGGGAAAGAUGAAAAGCACUUUGGAAAGAGAGUUAAACAGUACGUGAAAUUGUUGAAAGGGAAACGAUUGAAGUCAGUCGUGACUGACAGGCUCAACCGGUUCUGCCGGUGUAUUCCCCUCAGUCGGGUCAACAUCAGUUUUGUUCGGUGGAUAAGGGCAGCUGGAAGGUGGCACCUCCGGGUGUGUUAUAGCCAGCUGUCGCAUACAUCGAAUGAGACUGAGGAAUGCAGCUCGCCUUUAUGGCCGGGGUUCGCCCACGUCCGAGCUUAGGAUGUUGACAUAAUGGCUUUAAAC
rnacentral:rRNA from 1 species